rnacentral:rRNA from 1 species
GAUGAACGCUGGCGGCGUGCCUAAUACAUGCAAGUCGAGCGAACAGACGAGGAGCUUGCUCCUCUGACGUUAGCGGCGGACGGGUGAGUAACACGUGGAUAACCUACCUAUAAGACUGGGAUAACUUCGGGAAACCGGAGCUAAUACCGGAUAAUAUAUUGAACCGCAUGGUUCAAUAGUGAAAGACGGUUUUGCUGUCACUUAUAGAUGGAUCCGCGCCGCAUUAGCUAGUUGGUAAGGUAACGGCUUACCAAGGCGACGAUGAUUAGCCGACCUGAGAGGGUGAUAGGCCACCAUGGAACUGAGACACGGUCCAGACUCCUACGGGAGGCAGCAGUAGGGAAUCGUCCGCAAUGGGCGAAAGCCUGACGGAGCAACGCCGCGUGAGUGAUGAAGGUCUUAGGAUCGUAAAACGCUGUUAUUAGGGAAGAACAAAUGUGUAAGUAACUAUGCACGUCUUGACGGUACCUAAUCAGAAAGCCACGGCUAACUACGUG